rnacentral:rRNA from 1 species
GAUGAACGCUAGCGGCAGGCUUAAUACAUGCAAGUCGAGGGGCAGCGGGUGUAGCAAUACAUGCCGGCGACCGGCGCACGGGUGCGUAACGCGUAUGUAACCUACCUUUAACUGGAGGAUAGCCCCGAGAAAUCGGGAUUAAUACUCCAUAAAAUUAUGAGAAGGCAUCUUUUAUAUUAAAGCUCCGGCGGUUUUAGAUGGGCAUGCGUGACAUUAGCUAGUUGGUGAGGUAACGGCUCACCAAGGCUCCGAUGUCUAGGGGUUCUGAGAGGAUUAACCCCCACACUGGUACUGAGACACGGACCAGACUCCUACGGGAGGCAGCAGUAAGGAAUAUUGGGCAAUGGACGCAAGUCUGACCCAGCCAUGCCGCGUGAAGGAUGA